GCUGGCGGCGCGCUUACACAUGCAAGUCGCACGAGAAAGGGAGCAAUCCUAAGUAAAGUGGCGCACGGGUGAGUAACACGUGGAUUAUCUACCUUUUAGUGGGGAAUACCUCUGGGAAACCGGAGACAAUACCGCAUAAGCCUGUAAAGGGAAAGCAGCAAUGCGCUGAAAGAGGAGUCCGCGGCCGAUUAGCUAGUUGGCGGGGUAACGGCCCACCAAGGCGAAGAUCGGUAGCCGGCCUGAGAGGGCACACGGCCACACUGGCACUGAAACACGGGCCAGACUCCUACGGGAGGCAGCAGUGGGGAAUCUUGCACAAUGGACGAAAGUCUGAUGCAGCGACGCCGCGUGAGCAAUGAAGCCCUUCGGGGUGUAAAGCUCUUUCGACGGGAACGAUAAUGACGGUACCCGGAGAAGAAGCUGCGGCUAACUACGUGCCAGCAGCCGCGGUAAUACGUAGGCAGCGAGCGUUGUUCGGAAUUACGGGGCGUAAGAGUGUGUAGGCGGUGUUCCAGUCUGUGUGAAUCUCCCGGCUUAACUGGGAGGUGCAG
rnacentral:rRNA from 1 species